rnacentral:rRNA from 1 species
AUGAACGCUGGCGGCGUGCCUAAUACAUGCAAGUCGAGCGAACGGACGAGAAGCUUGCUUCUCUGAUGUUAGCGGCGGACGGGUGAGUAACACGUGGAUAACCUACCUAUAAGACUGGGAUAACUUCGGGAAACCGGAGCUAAUACCGGAUAAUAUUUUGAACCGCAUGGUUCAAAAGUAAAAGACGGUCUUGCUGUCACUUAUAGAUGGAUCCGCGCUGCAUUAGCUAGUUGGUAAGGUAACGGCUUACCAAGGCAACGAUGCAUAGCCGACCUGAGAGGGUGAUCGGCCACACUGGAACUGAGACACGGUCCAGACUCCUACGGGAGGCAGCAGUAGGGAAUCUUCCGCAAUGGGCGAAAGCCUGACGGAGCAACGCCGCGUGAGUGAUGAAGGUCUUCGGAUCGUAAAACUCUGUUAUUAGGGAAGAACAUAUGUGUAAGUAACUGUGCACAUCUUGACGGUACCUAAGCAGAAAGCCACGGCUAACUACGU